GACACACAAGCGUGAAGAGGGGAGGCUCAAACAUCAGAAUCUAUCCAUUUGAAUUUGACACCUAGAAAGCGAUACGAACGGAUUUCCUCAAAUGGACAGAGGGGAGGGAAAGAAAACAACAGCUGCUGCCACUAGGCAACUACUGCUAAGGCAUUUGAUACCCCUACCGCUGCAGAUGAGGCAUCUGUAAAGCUGAAGUUUAAGGAUAAAGUGUAAUAUUUUAACACUGACCUCAAAAGAAUCAGGUAUUGUACAACUUGCGUGUGAAUCUGAGUGUGUAUACCGUACUUGGACAAAAGUGGCCGAAAAUGGAUGCAUGUGUUGAAUUUUUUUUUUUUUUUUUUUGCUUACCUAGAUGGGGACAGUUAUGAAUGAAUGUAUAAUACAUGCAUUUUGUAUUUAAAGAAUAAUUUCAUCUUAAAUACACCCAUUCACCUCUCAAGAAACACUUUAACCUAAGCGAGGCAAGGUAGUACCUUUUUAGAGUUCAGUAAAAUAAAAAAAAAAAUACAGCCCCCAGGUUACACUAAUGUGCAAAAAAAGGAUUUAAAAAAAAAAAAAAGUUCUGUGUGGCAGAACAUUAAACUGGUGUAAUGUAUAUUUUUUUUUAUUCAGGGAAGGCAGUGGGUGGAGGAAGAAGAAAAGGAGGAGCAUGAGGGAGCAGUGUGGAAGGGGGGAGGAUGGGGUGCCAGCUUUCACUGGUGAGGAGAAACAUCUGGAAGCAUUUAUGUCUGCCGAGGGUGGCGUGGGCCCAAACGUUACAUCACCCGACAAAAUGCACACAAAGGCUGAGAAACAACAACAGAAAAAUCUAUACCUGUCGAUCUAACAUGUUGCACAAUGUUCGAGUGUGAACAAACUGACCCUCACAAUAAUUUUGAACCCACAGUCCAAACACUAAGGCCACACACACAAGCGUGCGCACACACACACUCACACAUACACACAUACACAGCAUCGCAACCCCCACGCCUUCUUCGGCCCCCGUAACCCAGUACGAUUUCCUGCAAAUUCCAAAGUCAGAUCCCGGCUGGAACACUUCAGCCCGCCUGCCACGUCAGUUUGCCUCCACCAUCCUCCCUGGCUGCGUCGUCUCUCGCUCUCUCUUUCUUUCUCUCUCUCUCUCUCUCUCUCUCUCUCUCUCUCUCUCUCUUUUGGCGGCCGCCAGCAUUAGAAAGUGCAACGUGUUCAGUUAGCGGCCGCCCGAGGCCCCAGGCUACCGUCCGUCUAGUUUGAAAGCUUUAGGUUACCGCAUGCGAACGAGGCCUCGGAAAGGACGACGAAGAGCGAGCGACCAGCGGCCACACUGACCUCUCGGUCCUUCCUCCC